rnacentral:rRNA from 1 species
CCUACGGUAGGCAGCAGUGAGGAAUAUUGGUCAAUGGACGAGAGUCUGAACCAGCCAAGUAGCGUGAAGGAUGACUGCCCUAUGGGUUGUAAACCUCUUUUGUCGGGGAGCAAAGCGAGUCACGUGUGACUCAUUGAGAGUACCCGAAGAAAAAGCAUCGGCUAACUCCGUGCCAGCAGCCGCGGUAAUACGGAGGAUCCGAGCGUUAUCCGGAUUUAUUGGGUUUAAAGGGAGCGUAGAUGGGUUGUUAAGUCAGUUGUGAAAGUUUGCGGCUCAACCGUAAAAUUGCAAUUGAUACUGGCAGUCUUGAGUACAGUUGAGGGAGGCGGAAUUCGUGGUGUAGCGGUGAAAUGCUUAGAUAUCACGAAGAACCCCGAUUGCGAAGGCAGCUUACUAAACUGUGACUGACAUUGAUGCUCGAAAGUGUGGGUAUCAAACAGGAUUAGAUACCCUUGUAGUC